AGGCCCGUAGCUCAGCUGGGAUGAGCGCUUCCCUGACACGGAAGAGGUCAGCGGUUCGAUCCCGCUCGGGCCUACCA
rnacentral:tRNA from 2 species